rnacentral:rRNA from 1 species
UGGGGAAUAUUCCGCAAUGGACGAAAGUCUGACGGAGCAACGCCGCGUGAGUGAUGAAGGUUUUCGGACCGUAAAGCUCUGUUGUUUAGGACGAAAGUGCCUGUUGCAAAUAAUUACAGGUAUUGACGGUACUGAACGAGGAAGCCACGGCUAACUACGUGCCAGCAGCCGCGGUAAUACGUAGGUGGCAAGCGUUGUCCGGAAUUAUUGGGCGUAAAGAGCAUGUAGGCGGGAAUCUAAGUCUGUUGUGAAAAUGCGGGGCUCAACCCCGUAUUGCGAUGGAAACUGGGUUGCUUGAGUGCAGGAGAGGAAAGGGGAAUUCCCAGUGUAGCGGUGAAAUGCGUAGAUAUUGGGAGGAACACCAGUGGCGAAGGCGCCUUUCUGGACUGUGUCUGACGCUGAGAUGCGAAAGCCAGGGUAGCGAACG